CGGUUCUGUGGGAGGAGACAGACAGACAGAGAAGCAGAGAGAGAUUUUCCGAUUUAUAUUGUUAAGGGAAACUGAGAGAAACCCUGGGAUGAAGCAUUUUUAACUUGAGAAUAUGCUUUUACAGGUCGACUGCCGUUGAUGCAUGAAGCUUAAGGCUUGGUAAAAGUCCAUACAGUAAAGUUUACAGUUCGGUCACUUACCGUAAGUGGUUGAAUCUGAGCGGCCCCCGUUUAGACAUUGCCAGUAAUGUUGCCGUCGAAGGAGCACUUCGUGGUGAAUUACACCUGCAACGACGAAAUAUAAAUAUAUGGGGUUGGAUUUGAUUCACAUGUAAGCAAGGCGGUGAAGAUGUUAUUUAAGGCUUCUUCUACACUCACUGAGGACACUCUGUACAGGAUAUGCUGCCGAAAAAAGAGAAGAUGAUCAGUGAACGCACUUUUGGCAAAAGUUAUGCAACUGAUUUAAUUAUUACAAAGAUGUAACAAGAUACUGACUGGCUGGAUUGAA